GUGCUCGUAGCUCAGUGGAUAGAGCGACAGGUUGCGGUCCUGUAGGUCGGGGGUUCGACUCCCUUCGGGCACG
rnacentral:tRNA from 1 species